rnacentral:rRNA from 1 species
UACAGAGGGUGCGAGCGUUGUCCGGAAUCACUGGGCGUAAAGGGCGCGUAGGCGGCCAGCACAAGUCAGUUGUGAAAUCUCCGGGCUUAACUCGGAAAGGUCAACUGAUACUGUGCGGCUAGAGUGCAGAAGGGGCAACUGGAAUUCUCGGUGUAGCGGUGAAAUGCGCAGAUAUCAGGAGGAACACCGGUGGCGAAGGCGGUUCUCUGGGCAUGUCCUGACGCUGAGGAGCGAAAGUGUGGGGAGCGAACAGG